CCAAACAAUUAUAUAUUUACCAAUAUUGUUUCACCUAAAAUAAGCUAAAGUUGCUAACUUUUCACACAAAAGGUAAAAUCUACCAAAAGUAAUGCAAAAAUUGAACUAACUGAAACAAACCCAGUUGGGAAAAAUCAAAAACUUGAGAAAAAACGAUUGAAUUUUCAAUUGUGUUUUUGUCAAAGAGUGACUGCGAUGACAACCAGUCAUCCACAAAGAGGAAAUUUAUGGACAGGACAGAUCCCGUAUCGUUUAAAUGAUUAUUCUUGCGCAAUGUUAUCGAGACACUAAUGCCAAACGAUACGAAAGAGGGAGCAGAAAACACAGUUUACUUUUCAACUCCAAAACUUCACUCAACGAUAUAAUUUCAUACAAAACCACCACAAUUUAUAGAAGAACAGAUUCUAAUGGCGAAACCUUUACACAAUCUUCAUUAUCCGAAACUAUUAUCCGACAACAACAAAUAUUCAAACCAUCAAUAGAAUUCCAUACUGUGACAUCCAAACACAAAACCAAAGACAAUGUAAAGAGAAGGGGUAUUCACCUUUUUUCGAGCAGCGAACUGGGAUUACGAGACUUUACGAUGAAGCUUCCAACACUAAAUUCGGAGUUUAAUUUUCGCCGGAAUCAAGCUCUUGAAUCCGUUUCUUCGAGAAUUUUUGGUUACAUAAGAUUAGAAGCACGCACUUCCCGAAUCCUCGAAUUCCUCCCCCCAAAAUUCCUCCCCUUUCUCUCUACAUACAUGGGUAUUUAUAGAAGACUUGGUACUGAUUUUGAGGGAAAAACAAAGGGGUAAAAAGGUAAAACGAAUUGAGAUUCAAAAUUGCAAAAUUUAAAAGAGUGUUUUACCUGGAAUUGGAUGAAAUGGGACGUUAUCUCUGAGCUGCAGCAGUUGUCGUUGAGAGUUGGGUUGUUGCUGUCGUCUGUUGCUGUUGAUAAUUGUUGUUGUAUGCUGUUAAGGGGUUAAGGGGAUUUGGAGGAUUGGGUCGGGUCGUGUCAAUGGGGCGGCUGGGCUGUUUGGGCUGUUGUCAUUGUUACUGUUGAUGAGAAGAAAUAAGGGUGAGGGUUGGGCUGGACCGGCAGGGUCAGUUUGAUGGGCCGCGUCUGGUGUAUUGGGCCUGUUGGGGGGACUGAUUCAGCUGGGCUGGUUUAAUUGGAAAAAUUUUAGAAAUAGCAACUCUGUAGCCUUAAUUAAAA
rnacentral:lncRNA from 1 species